GUUCCUCGGGCAGUCAGGCCACCUCUCCGCCUCCCCGUUAUGGCUCUCCAACCGCUUCCUCCUCGCCCUCGCGUCCAUCCCGGUGUCGCCACGCUCGCGGACGCCGUCUUCGCGCGCCCCCCGGAUCCCGCCGCCCGCGACCGAUUCCCCUGGAACACGUCCGUCCGCCUCCACGCCCCCGCAUCGCGCUGCUCUACUUUGCGUGGAUGCGCUAUUGCGACGUGCGGCCGGGCGCCUACAACGUUCCUCACUGUCCUCAAGGCCUGUGGCCGCGCCGGACUCCUGGUUCACGCCGAGGCCGUGAGGAGAGAGGGCUGGGCGCGGACCUCUUCACGGUGAACACGCUCAUCAACUUCUAAUGCAGGAUCCUGGAUUGCCACUAGGGGAGGAUUGUGUUCGACAAGGCGGGCAACGUCUCAUGGAACUCCAUGGUCGCUGGGUUCUUCGGGAAGGGGAGAUGAGGCUCGCGCAGGAGCUGUUCGACGAAAUGCCGCAGAAAGACACGUUCUCUUGGGGGUCCUUGAUCGACGUUUACACGGAAUGUGAUCUUAGAAACAUUUUUGUUGAUGGGCAUUCAGGUGUGAGGAAGCCAAGGAGGCUUUGGAGUAUUUUCAGAGUAUGCCGGGGUGUGGCGUAAGGCCUGAUAAGGUCGUUGCCGUGGGGGCUGUCAGUGCUAGUGCUCAGCUGGGCGCUUUGGAGCAAGUAAGAUGGCUUCACUCUUGCUUGGAGAAGUGCUAUCUGAUGAUGUGGUCUGGAUGUCGUUGGACUUGCAACUCAUGGUUAUGGUCUGGAUGCUGUCAUGCUGUUUCAUCGAGUGGAGGCAGAAAAGGUUGCAGUGGACGAUCUUAGUGUACUUGUCAUUCUGAUUGCUUGCACACAUGCUGGCUUGAUCUCAGAGGGUUUAGAAAUAUUUCACAGAAUGAAAAAUGAUUUUGGGAUAGAUCCCGAGGUAGAAUUGGUUGAUCUACUUGGCCGUGCUGGACAUUUGCGUUGAGCUGGCUGAGUUAUAAAUGGAACGUCUUGCAAAUCUUGGAGCUGAUUCUGGAGUCUGUUUUUCUAUCAAAUAUAUAUGCUGAUGAAGCAAUGUGGGGUGAUGUUUUGAGGAUUAGGAAAAUGAUAUGUGAUGAGGGGAUGAGAAAGGAUAUUGGACGGAGUGUGAUUGAAGUGGAUGGAGAAAUACAUGAGUUUGUGAAGGGAGGUUGCUCAUAUCAUUAUAAGGAGGAAAUGUACUUGGUGCUUUGGAAUUUAUCUAACAUGGCAGCAUCUAUUUGAUUGCUUCUUUCUGUACCAACUUUGUGAAAUCAUUCAUCACGAGUCUGUUGAUUCAACAUUCUAGUCAUGCACCAAAUUGCAUCUGAUGGUUCAUAGCCCAGAUGGUAACUGCCUAUUUUUCAAGCCUGAAUUUUCCUGCUCAAGCACAAGCAGGUGCCAACAUGAACAGUACCGACUCAAUGAGGCUCUUGAGUAUCCAUGUGCUGUCCAUUUAUUAUUAUUUUUCUUGACUUGCUUCCACAGUGGUGACUCAACAUGUGAUUUAACGAAGAAGAUUUAUGCUUUUGGCUGCAGUUGUUACUCCUUUUAGUCAGUUUUAAAUUGCAUCAUGCAUUAGAGUAGCCACUUGUGGAUUAUGGGAUUUAAAAGUGGUUUUGGCCUUUAAAGGACAAGUUUAGUCCUAAUUGAGAAGUGUCUGCACCUCUGUACCAUUGUUCUUUACUUCAUCAGAGUGAAGAUACAUGAAGUUCAGAUUUCAGAAUGAAGACUUCAAGAUUGUAUACUGCCUCUUACUUCCGUCUACUUUAUGUGUUUCAUUUUAUAUCUGUGUUGUUGUUUGCUGAUUACAAAAAUGAAAAGUGGCUGAUUUUGGGAACAACAUUUGAUGAUUUGGGACUCUGUAAUAUGCCUUGUUUUGGUUAUUUGGCUUUAGAACUGAAAAGUGAUUGCUUUCUAAAUUACCAGUAUGGUUUAUGCAUAUAGUCAUGACUACCUGACCAUCAGCACGAGUAGUUUGACUUGGCACUCUAUUUUGUUUAGUCGAUCUAGCAUGAUUGAGACACCUAAAUGGUUGGUCCUCUUUGCUAAUUGUAAGAAGCAUGCUCAAGCUUAGAAUUUAAGAUUAUAUCCUAACAGAGUUAACAAUGAUGAACACUAUCAAGCUACAUAAGUGCUGCUGGACCGUGGGGUUCGGUGGUGUAUUUACGUCAACCUUGGGGCAUGAGACUCGAGUAUGGUUUGGUGUAGGCGUCUUAUGCAUGUAAAAUAGAACAGAAACCAAUUUGUUUGUUCCUCUUUUUUUUCCUGUUUAUUAAUACCUACUUUACCUUAAACACUAAAACUUUGUUUGGUGUAGGCGUCUUAUGCAGUAUGAACUUUUGGUGUGAGCUGUCUGAGGGUGGGCGCAGUCACGCACGCAGGAAGCUGAUUGACGAGCCUGGACGGAUCACUCUCGCUCCACUCCAGUCACCAGUAGCCGAGUGCCACGUCCAUCUUUUACGUGACGCGAAGCCGCGAAGCGGUCGGUUCUUAUCACUUAUCAUCAGGGGGCCAGUCGGGGCAACCAGCUACAGGACACGUCCAGAUGAACUUGCCCAGGUAUGCAUGCCCCGGCCCGACCACACUGACUGAACCUGGACGGCUUCCCGGUCUCGUGCGCUGCCCGGGCAGUCUGGUGGGGCACUUGGAUAACACGCUGCAGCGGGUUAUUAUAAACAGGGACAGGUCCGCC